rnacentral:rRNA from 1 species
UGAGGAAUAUUGGUCAAUGGGCGGAAGCCUGAACCAGCCAUGCCGCGUGCAGGACGACGGCCCUACGGGUUGUAAACUGCUUUUCCGGGGGAAGAAUAAGGGCGACGUGUCGCCCGAUGCCGGUACCCCGGGAAUAAGGAUCGGCUAACUCCGUGCCAGCAGCCGCGGUAAUACGGAGGUUCCGAGCGUUAUCCGGAUUUACUGGGUUUAAAGGGUGCGUAGGCGGGCCCCUCAGUCGGCGGGGAAAGUCUGCGGCUCAACCGUAGGAUUGCCGU